rnacentral:misc_RNA from 1 species
UGAAAAUCUAGGAUUAACUGUGGAAACAUCAAAAGGCUCAAAUCUUUGCUCUUUGAUUGAUGGAUUUGGUGAAUAUGAUCCCCGUGCCUGUUCAUUGCUUGAGGAGGCAGCUUCACUUGGGAUCGUCCCAUUGACUUCCUUUAAGGGAAGCCCUAUUGUUGUCGAUGUGAGGAAUUUGCAUAUUCAUGCAGCUCAGGUAUAUCUUUUGACUGUCCUAAAGAGUCUCAAGCAUCGUUUGGCUGCAGGUGCAAAAAUACCGAACAUAUCCAUUGUACUCCCUGUAGAGCAGUCACAUAUUCAGACACCCACAGGCCAGAAAACAAUUAAGAUUGCUGGAAGGAUCAACAGGGCAGUUGCAGCACUUUUGAGGAGGCUUGGCCUGCCGUACCAAGGGAAUGAAUCGUUUGGGAAGAUUCGAAUCAAUGGUGUUAUUAUGAAAAGGUGGUUCCAGCCAAAGCUCGAAUCACCUUUUAGUUGGGAACAGACAGGUUUCAGCUUCUCCCAGACACGGCUACGAAAAGGAAUAAGCCAUCAACAACGUACUAUUCGAACUGGUGAUUUGUCCUUAGAUUAGGAGAAGUUCAAGGAGGGCUAAUGAAACUAGACAGCUCAAUUAAUUAAUGAAUUAAUGGUCUGGUUUAGUUAAUGACCAUGAUGAUACAACAGAGUGCUGUAGCUGCCAGUUGACUUUGUAAUGAAAAUUGGAAAACUGGCUAGGUGAAUUUUUGAUGCCAGAGGAGAAAGAAGCAAGAAGAAAGCAUACAAACCGUUACCGCAGAAUCUGUGCUUAAUUGGACUACACAUGGAGCAGUCCAAGUGCCACUGGUUGUUCUAUGUGCAGUUUGUGAUAUUGAGUCGGGCUAUGAUGAGUGGCUAUUUUUGAGCGAAUGCUAGCUAAACAAUUGACAAGGAUACAAG